rnacentral:rRNA from 1 species
UACGUAGGGGGCGAGCGUUGUCCGGAAUUAUUGGGCGUAAAGGGCUCGUAGGCGGUCUGUCACGUCGGGAGUGAAAACACGGGGCUUAACCCCGUGCCUGCUUCCGAUACGGGCAGACUAGAGGUAUGCAGGGGAGAACGGAAUUCCUGGUGUAGCGGUGAAAUGCGCAGAUAUCAGGAGGAACACCGGUGGCGAAGGCGGGUCUCUGGGCCGAUACUGACGCUGAGGAGCGAAAGCGUGGGGAGCAAACAGG